GUAGGGAAUAUUGGACAAUGGGGGAAACCCUGAUCCAGCGACGCCGCGUGAGUGAUGAAGGCCUUCGGGUCGUAAAGCUCUGUCGGAGGGAAAGAAAUGUGAUGUGGCUAAUAUCCACGUUGCUUGACGGUACCCUCCAAGAAAGCACCGGCUAAUUCCGUGCCAGCAGCCGCGGUAAUACGGGGGGUGCAAGCGUUGUUCGGAAUCACUGGGCGUAAAGCGCAUGUAGGUGGUCGGGUAUGUCGGAUGUGAAAGCCCUUGGCUCAACCAAGGAAGUGCAUCCGAAACUGCCCAACUUGAGUAUGGGAGAGGGAAGUGGAAUUCCCAGUGUAGAGGUGAAAUUCGUAGAGAUUGGGAGGAACACCGGAGGCGAAAGCGGCUUCCUGGCCCAAUACUGACACUCAGAUGCGAAAGCGUGGGUAGCAAACAGGAUUAGAAACCCGAGUAGUCC
rnacentral:rRNA from 1 species